CCCGCCGGGGCCGGGCUGGCGACCUGUCCAGCACUAGGCCAUCGUCGCCAAGCUGGCCAGACACGCAAGGAGGCCACACCAGGAGCACCAGAUACAGCAGAUGAACCAAAAGGACUCAGAAGUGAAGUGUUACCUCACCGUUGUUCCAGGGUUGUGUGAAGAGCCAAUGAGAUGGUGUCUGCUGUGGACCUACUGCUUCUGUUAAUCCAAGAUAUCAUUGUGAAGUCACACAAGGCUCUCUGGUGGGCAAGGAUCAGAAAUUCACCCACAUUUCUCUACCAAAGUCGCCUCAUUUUGUUUUAAAUUACACAAGCAAAAAAUAAAGACUCCAUAUGUAUGAAAAGGUCACAAGUUUGGAUAUUAAUUUAAGUGGGUUCUGCUUGGGGUUGUAGAACCAGGUCUGUUGUAAAAUCAAGAAGUACAAGGUAUAGUGCACUGGUUAGUGUACAUAAUGGUUAAUGUCCAUAAUGUACUGGUUAGGCACAGGAGUACAUUCAGCCAGAGACUCAUUUCACCGAGAUGCAACACUGAGCGUCAUUGGAAGUCAUUCCUGCCUGUGGCCAUCAAACUUUACAAUUCCUCCCUCGGAGUGUCAGACACCCUGGGCCAAUAGGCUGGUCCUGGACUUAUUUCCACUGGGAAAUAAUUUACUUAUUAUUAUUUAAUUAUUUAUGGUUUUAUAUUGCUAUAUUUCUGCACUAUUCUUGGUUGGUGCAACUGUAACGAAACCCAAUUUCCCUCGGGAUCAAUAAAGUCUGUCUGUCUAGAACUACAAUAUCUUCUCCUUAUAAAAGUAUUUUUCCAGAUAAAUGUAUGUUUAGUAUUAUCACAAGCAAAUUAUGUUCAUAAAAAUAGUCAUAAAAAGCAGAAUGAUUACCAUCCUUUAUUGACAAAUUCCCUAUCCAUUUCCACUCUGGUAACUACAACACUGUCUUCCCAAAAAACCAGCAGAGUUUAACUCCAGACUUCUUUAAGGUGGUAUCUUAGUCCAUAAGGCUUAUUAAUAGUCUGGAGAUUACAGAGCAGGAAGCCUGCCUUAGAACAUACUGUAAGAGGAAAUUAUAGGCCAGUCAGCCUGACCUCAGUGGUUGGGAAGAUGCUGGAGUCAAUUGUUAACGAUGAAGUUAUGGAGUACUUUGAGACACAGGAUAAGAUUGGACAAAGUCAGCAUAGUUUCCUUGAGAGAAAAUCCUGUCUGAUGAACCUGUUGGAAUUCUUUGAGGAGAUUACAAGUAGGAUAGAUAAAGGAAAUGAAGUAGAUGUUGUGUAUUAGGACUUUCAGAAGGCCUUUGACAAGGUGCCACACGAGGCUGCUUACCAAAUUAAGAGCCCAUGGCAUUACAGGAAAGUUACAAACAUGGUUAGAACAUUGGCUGAUUGGUAGCAGGCAGCGAGUGGGAAUAAAAGGAUUCUUUUCUGGACAGCUGCCAGUGACUAGUGAUGUUCUACAGGGGUUGAUGUUGGGACCACUUCUUUUUAUGCUGUAAAUAAAUGAUGUAGAUGAUAGAAUAGAUAAUAUUGUUGCCAAGUUAGCAGAUGAUACAAAGAUUGGCGGAGAGGCAGGUAGUGUUGAGGAAACAGGUAGGGUGCAGAAGGACUUAAGACAGAUUAGACGAAUGGGCAAGAAAGUGGCAAAUGAAAUACAAUGCUGAAAAAUGCAUGGUCAUGCACUUGGUAGUAGAAAUAAAUGUGCAGACUAUUUUCUAAAUGGGGGCAAAAUCCAAAAUGCUGAGAUGGAAAAAGACAUGGGGGUCUUGUGUAGAACAUUCUAAUUGUUAACUUGCAGGUAGAGUUGGUGGUGAAGAAGGCAAAUGCAAUGUUAGCAUUCAUUUCAAGAGGUCUAGAAUACAAGAGCAGGGAUGUGAUGCUGAGUGUUUAUAAGGCACUGGUGAGACCUCAUCCUGAGUAUUGUGAACAGUUCUGAACUCCUCAUCCAAGAAAAUGUGUUGGCAUUGGAGAGGGUUCACAAGGAUGAUUCGGGAAAUGAAAGGGUUAUAAUACGAAGAACGUUUGAUAGCUCUGGGUCUGUACUUGCUGGAAUUUAGAAGGGUGAGGGGGGAGCUCAGUGAAAACUUUCAAAUAUUGAAAGGCCUGGACAGAGUAGAUGUGGAAAGGAUGUUUCCCAUGAUGGAGGAGUCAAGGCCAAGGGGGCACAGCCUCAGGUUACAGGGGCGUCCAUUUAACACAGAUACAGAGAAAUUUCUUUAGCCAGAGGUGGUGAAUUUGUAGAAUUUAUUACCACAGGCAGCUAUGGAGGCCAGGUCAUAGGGUGUACUUAAGGCAGAGCUUGAUAGUUUCUUGUUUGGACAUGGCAUCAAAGGUUACAGGGAGAAGGUCAGGGAGUGUGGCUGGGGGGGGGAAGAAGUAUCAGCCAUGACUGGCGGAGCAGACUCAAUGGGCCAAAUGGCUUAAUUCUUCUCCUAUGUCUUAUGGUAUUUAAUAGCAAGUGGUAUGGUGACACCAAGAAGCUUAUGUUUGAAGGGACACACCUGAUGACUGAGUAUUACAAAGGGGCCUGCAUUACUAUUUCAACACUUUUCCUUUCAAAUGCCAACUUUCCUAAAAGCUGGUAUUCCUGUUAAAGUCAAAUGGAUGAUUUAGUCCCAGUUCUCUGACAUUCUACCCAUCCAUUUUUGGAGCUAAAAUUCAGCCUAUAAAGAUACACUUUUACAAAGUUAAUCUUCUAACAUUUUAAAAGGAAUCCACUACUUACCUGAAUUUCAACAACCACAACUUAAAUUUGCUUUUUAAACAUUCAAAAUGAAUGCAACUUAGAAAAGGUGACUGCAGAAACCAUCAGGAUUUUUAUCAAGUAGAACAAACAUCUGCUUCUCUAAAAUAUUUCUUAGUACAACUAGUUGGUUCUCUGAAUUAGACAGAAACUGAAUUACCUACAUCGUAAUGUUUAAUACAACGGACCAUUUCCUUGUAGGAUCUAAUAGUUAAUUGAUGCCCAAGAAAUCAGAGUCCCAGAAUACCCUUCUUCACCCAGGAGAAAUGGCAAGGCAUUACUACAAAGAACAAUGCUAUCUGGCAGAUUAGUUGCCAUCAAUGGUUAUCAUCUUAUUAUGGCUGUAUAAUCCAACUAAUACUCGGCAGUGUGGAGGCUCAGAGGCUCAGAGUCAGAGUCCAUAGGACACUCAAAGCUGCUGCGCAGGUUGAGUCUGUGGUUAAGGCAGCGUAUGGUGCAUUGGCCUUCAUUAAUUGUGGGAUUGAGUUUAGGAGCCAAGAGGUAAUGUUGCAGCUAUAAAGGACCCUGGUCAGACCCCACUUGGAGUACUGUGCUCAGUUCUGGUCACCUCACUACAGGAAGGAUGUGGAAACCAUAGAAAGAGUGCAGAGGAGAUUUAGAAGGAUGUUGCCUCGAUUGGGGAGCAUGCCUUAUGAGAAUAUAUUGAGUGAACUUGGCCUUUUCCCUUUGGAGUGACGGAGGAUGAGAGGUGACCUGAUAGAGGUGUACAAGAUGAUGAGAGGCAUUAAUCGUGUGGAUAGUCAGAGGCUUUUUCCCAGGGCUGAAAUUGCUAGCACAAGAAGGCACAGUUUUAAUGUACUUGGAAGUGGGUACAGAGGAGAUGUCAGGGGUAAUUUUUUUUUAUGCAGAGAGUGGUGAGUGCGUGGAAUGGGCUGCCGGCGACAGUAGUAGAGGCGAAUACGAUAGAGUCUUUUAAGAGCCUCCUGGAUAGGUAAAAAAAAACACAUAGAAACAUAGAAAACUUAUAGCACAAUACAGGCCGUUCGGCCCACAAAGUUGUCCCAAACAUGUCCCUACCUUA